CGCGGGGUGGAGCAGCCUGGUAGCUCGUGAGGCUCAUAACCUUAAGGUCGUCGGUUCAAAUCCGACCCCCGCAACCA
rnacentral:tRNA from 1 species